rnacentral:rRNA from 1 species
CGACGCCGCGUGGGCGACGAAGGCCUUCGGGUCGUAAAGCCCUUUUAGCAGGGACGAGUGAGGACGGUACCUGCUGAAUAAGUCUCGGCUAACUACGUGC